UAACGCGUGGGUAACCUGCCCUUUUGUGGGGAACAACUUCGAGAAAUCGGAGCUAAUACCGCAUAAUAAUAGAGGAUCGCAUGAUUCUUUAAGGAAAGAUGGCCUCUGAAGAUGCUAUCGCAAAAGGAUGGACCCGCGUCUGAUUAGCUAGUUGGAAGGGUAACGGCCUACCAAGGCAACGAUCAGUAGCCGGCCUGAGAGGGUGAACGGCCACAUUGGGACUGAGACACGGCCCAAACUCCUACGGGAGGCAGCAGUGGGGAAUCUUCCGCAAUGGGCGAAAGCCUGACGGAGCAAUGCCGCGUGAGUGAAGAAGGCCUUCGGGUUGUAAAACUCUGUCCUUAUCGAAGAGAGGUAGGUAUGUGAAUAAUGUACCUAUAGGACGGUAGAUAAGGAGGAAGCCCCGGCUAACUACGUGCCAGCAGCCGCGGUAAUACGUAGGGGGCGAGCGUUGUCCGGAGUCACUGGGCGUAAAGGGCGCGUAGGCGGUUUAAUAAGUCAGUGGUGAAAACUGAGGGCUCAACCCUCAGCCUGCCACUGAUACUGUUAGACUUGAGUAUGGAAGAGGAGAAUGGAAUUCCUAGUGUAGCGGUGAAAUGCGUAGAUAUUAGGAGGAACACCAGUGGCGAAGGCGAUUCUCUGGGCCAAGACUGACGCUGAGGCGCGAAAGCGUGGGGAGCAAACAGGAUUAGAUACCCUGGUAGU
rnacentral:rRNA from 1 species